GUUCUGUAGUCUUGAAGCCGCGCGGGGUUGGUGGUACCCCGGAGCGCACCAGACUUGCAGACAAAGCAUACUCCGGAGGAAGCUGAGGCAUGCCUGCUCGAGAGGCAGCAGUUCUAUGUGCAAUGUUCCUCUGAUAGUUUCUGGGUACUGUUGCCACGGUGGUAAUGGCUGUGCCGUGUCAUUAUCGAUCCACCAACAGUUAGAGAAGCUUUGCAGUCAAGAUAUUGUUUAGCAGACAUAGUGCGUUCUGUUGGACACUAAGUACUGCUACAAAG
ensembl:scaRNA small Cajal body-specific RNA 13